rnacentral:rRNA from 1 species
AACCGAGUCUUAAUUGGGCGUUAAGUUGCAGGGUAUAGACCCGAAACCCGGUGAUCUAGCCAUGGGCAGGUUGAAGGUUGGGUAACACUAACUGGAGGACCGAACCGACUAAUGUUGAAAAAUUAGCGGAUGACCUGUGGCUGGGGGUGAAAGGCCAAUCAAACCGGGAGAUAGCUGGUUCUCCCCGAAAGCUAUUUAGGUAGCGCCUCGUGAAUUCAUCUCCGGGGGUAGAGCACUGUUUCGGCUAGGGGGCCAUCCCGGCUUACCAACCCGAUGCAAACUGCGAAUACCGGAGAAUGUUAUCACGGGAGACACACGGCGGGUGCUAACGUCCGUCGUGAAGAGGGAAACAACCCAGACCGCCAGCUAAGGUCCCAAAGUCAUGGUUAAGUGGGAAACGAUGUGGGAAGGCCCAGACAGCCAGGAUGUUGGCUUAGAAGCAGCCAUCAUUUAAAGAAAGCGUAAUAGCUCACUGGUCGAGUCGGCCUGCGCGGAAGAUGUAACGGGGCUAAACCAUGCACCGAAGCUGCGGCAGCGACGCUGAUGCGUUGUUGGGUAGGGGAGCGUUCUGUAAGCCUGCGAAGGUGGCCUGUGAGGGUUGCUGGAGGUAUCAGAAGUGCGAAUGCUGACAUAAGUAACGAUAAAGCGGGUGAAAAGCCCGCUCGCCGGAAGACCAAGGGUUCCUGUCCAACGUUAAUCGGGGCAGGGUGAGUCGACCCCUAAGGCGAGGCCGAAAGGCGUAGUCGAUGGGAAACGGGUUAAUAUUCCCGUACUUGGUGUUACUGCGAAGGGGGGACGGAGAAGGCUAUGUUGGCCGGGCGACGGUUGUCCCGGUUUAAGCGUGUAGGUGUGUGUUCCAGGUAAAUCCGGUUCACUUUAACACUGAGGCGUGACGACGAGGCACUACGGUGCUGAAGCAACAAAUGCCCUGCUUCCAGGAAAAGCCUCUAAGCAUCAGGUAACAUCAAAUCGUACCCCAAACCGACACAGGUGGUCAGGUAGAGAAUACCAAGGCGCUUGAGAGAACUCGGGUGAAGGAACUAGGCAAAAUGGUGCCGUAACUUCGGGAGAAGGCACGCUGACACGUAGGUGAAGUGAUUUACUCAUGGAGCUGAAGUCAGUCGAAGAUACCAGCUGGCUGCAACUGUUUAUUAAAAACACAGCACUGUGCAAACACGAAAGUGGACGUAUACGGUGUGACGCCUGCCCGGUGCCGGAAGGUUAAUUGAUGGGGUCAGCGCAAGCGAAGCUCCUGAUCGAAGCCCCGGUAAACGGCGGCCGUAACUAUAACGGUCCUAAGGUAGCGAAAUUCCUUGUCGGGUAAGUUCCGACCUGCACGAAUGGCGUAAUGAUGGCCAGGCUGUCUCCACCCGAGACUCAGUGAAAUUGAACUCGCUGUGAAGAUGCAGUGUACCCGCGGCAAGACGGAAAGACCCCGUGAACCUUUACUAUAGCUUGACACUGAACAUUGAGCCUUGAUGUGUAGGAUAGGUGGGAGGCUUUGAAGUGUGGACGCCAGUCUGCAUGGAGCCGACCUUGAAAUACCACCCUUUAAUGUUU